GCCUGGGUGGCUCAGUCGGUUAAGCGUCUGACUUUAGCUCAGGUCAUGAUCUCACGGUCUGUGAGUUUGAGCCCCGCGUCAGGCU
rnacentral:tRNA from 1 species